rnacentral:tmRNA from 1 species
GGGCUUGUAAUGGUUUCGACGGGGAUUUUGAAUUCGGAGAAGCAAGUCGUAUGGUAAUGCGUUAAAUUCCAAAUUAAACUAAACGCUAACGAUAAUUUAGCAAUCGCUGCCUAAUGGCAGCUGUCGGCUCUGAUGCACCUGCACAUCAGUGAUCCGGCAUCGACUUUGCAGGAAACGACACGCGCAAAGCUUUGAGCGCGCGGGCGUAUCAUGAAGCUACCAAAGGGCUGAUUGUGUCUGUUCAAGCUGUCCGGCGGGAAUUUCAGAAAACAGACUAGACUUGUAGAAGUACGAUGGAUAGGUUUUCGGACGCGGGUUCGACUCCCGCCAGGUCCACU